UCGUGAAAUAAUUGAUCACCCUCUGGUCAUUAUCUUGGACUAACUUGAGUUGAACUCAACCAUGAUGUGCUCAGGUCAUUCUGGAGACAGGUUGUUCUUGGGUCAGGCCCGAUUCUGGCCCACCAAUUUUAGAGAGACCUGGGUCCUAGUUAUUACCCGCCAUCAACGAAAACAGAGGGACCCCUCAAAGUUGAUUUGCCCACU
rnacentral:lncRNA from 1 species